rnacentral:rRNA from 1 species
GUAGGGUGCGAGCGUUAAUCGGGAAUUACUGGGGCGUAAAGCGUGCGCAGGCGGUUUUGUAAGACAGGGCGUGAAAUCCCCCGAGCUCAACUUGGGGAAUGGCGCUUGUGACUGCAAGGCUAGAGUAUGUCAGAUGGGGGUAGAAUUCCACGUGUAGCAGUGAAAUGCGUAGAGAUGUGGAGGAAUACCGAUGGCGAAGGCAGCCCCCUGGGACGUCACUGACGCUCAUGCACGAAAGCGUGGGGAGCAAACAGGAUUAGAUACCCUGGUAGUCCACGCCCUAAACGAUGUCAACUAGUUGUUGGGGAUUCAUUUCUUCAGUAACGUAGCUAACGCGUGAAGUUGACCGCCUGGGGAGUACGGUCGCAAGAUUA